AGCGAACGCUGGCGGCAGGCCUAACACAUGCAAGUCGAACGAACCUUUCGGGGUUAGUGGCGGACGGGUGUGUAACACGUGGGAACGUGCCUAUAGGUUCGGAAUAACUCAGGGAAACUUGUGCUAACACCGAAUGUGCCCUACGGGGGGAAGAUUUAUCGCCUUUAGAGCGGCCCGCGUCUGAUUAGCUAGUUGGUUGAGGUAUAGGUUCAUCAAGGCGACGUUCAGUAGCUGGUCUGUGAGAAUGGUCAGCCACAUUGGGGCUGAGACGCAGCCCAAACUCCUACGGGAGGCAGCAGUGGGGAAUCGUGCGCAAUGGGCGAAAGCCUGACGCAGCCAUGCCGCGUGAAUUAUGAAAGUAUUAGGAUUGUAAAAUUCUUUCACCGGGGACGAUAAUGACGGUACCCGGAGAAGAAGCCCCGGCUAACUUCGUG
rnacentral:rRNA from 1 species